CCGCCGCACCCUCUCUUCUCUCAUUCAUCUACAUCCUUGCCACAAAGAUGGCACCUCUUUUUCGGUGCAAAUGUUUGGUGUUAUUCACCGAUCUCACGUCACAAACGGGUCUGGCUAAUCAUUUUGGAGCAGACUAUAGCAUGUUGAUUGUUCAUGGCGUUUCAAGGGCUCAAUUGAGAAAGGCUGGUAUAUCUCAAACGCCUCCAUGAAACCCGUGGUUGGUGGUGUGUGAGGUUGUUAGGUACAUCAGUGCACAGAAACUUGCAGUCUAAGGAGCUUGAAGUGUCAUGUUGCGUG